CAGAUAGGAAGGGCAGCAGUUGUCACUGUGCCACGGAAGGGAGCAGUUGUUCCUCUGUGUUAUCACUGAUCUUUGAUAAGAUCACUUCACACUGAUAACUAUGAUGACUGGUAAACAACGACUGGAGAAGGAAGUCACCUUAGAACUAAGGAACAAAUAUAUUGGGCCAUCAUGUAAGCUGUUUUACAGGGAUGACCCACUCAAAAUUCUGCGAGCCUCAGGAACUUAUAUGUAUGAUGAAAAAGGGCACAGAUAUCUUGACUGUAUCAACAAUGUUUGCCAUGUGGGCCAUUGUAACCCAUACGUUGUCUCAGCAGCAAUGCAGCAGAUGGCAGUUCUCAACACUAACAGCCGAUUUCUACAUGAUAACUUAGUUCUCUAUGCGGAAAGGUUAUUAACAUUCUUCCCAAAGGAAUUAUGUGUGUGUUUCUUUGUGAAUUCUGGCAGUGAAGCAAAUGAUUUGGCAUUACGUAUGGCACGUACACACACAGGCAAGAAGGAUGUCAUUACUUUAGACCAUGCUUACCAUGGCCAUGUGUCUUCCUUGAUCGACAUCUCGCCUUACAAGUUUAACCACCCAGGUGGUGAGGGACAAGCAGACUGGGUCCAUGUUGCUCCUGUAGCAGAUGUGUAUAGAGGGAAGUACACUGACAAAGACUACUCUCUGGAAGAAUUGUCAGAGAAAUAUGCCGAUGAGGUGAAACAGCUGUGUGACAAGGCCACCAAGAAGAGUGGUGGAGUAUGCCUCUUUGUAGCAGAGUCCAUGCAAAGUUGUGGUGGACAGAUUGUCUACCCACCUGGAUAUCUACGUCAAGUGUACAAGCAUGUUCGAGCUGCAGGUGGUUUAUGUUUAGCAGAUGAAGUUCAAGUUGGAUUUGGUCGUGUGGGCUCUCACAUGUGGGCCUUCCAGACACAGGGAGACGAUAUUGUCCCUGAUAUUGUCACCCUGGGUAAACCUAUGGGAAAUGGCCAUCCUAUAUCUGCUGUCAUCACUACAAGAGAGGUUGCUGAUAGUUUUGGAGCCACAGGGAUGGAAUACUUCAACACUUUUGGUGGCAAUCCUGUUUCAGCUGCAAUUGCUGAUGCAGUUCUUGAUGUUAUUGAAAAUGAGAAACUUAGGGAAAAUGCAACCAUGAUUGGCAGUUACUUGAAACAAGAGUUCAAUUCCAUGAAGCAGAAACAUGGCAUCAUUGGUGAUGUACGUGGUCAGGGUAUGUUCUUGGGAGUAGACUUGGUCAAGAACAGAAAAACACGUGAGCCUGCCACUGCUGAAGCUGCUUACAUAAACAAAAGAUUAAAGGAGCAGUAUGUAUUACUGAGCUGUGAUGGUCCAAGCAGAAAUGUUCUCAAGUUUAAACCCCCUCUUGUUUUUAGCCUAAAUGAUGCCAAAGAACUACUAGAGAAACUGGACAAUAUUAUGACAGAAAUGGAAGUAGCAGAAGUAAGCAAGCUUAUUGUGAAGUAAAUGAUGCAGCAAAGUCCACCUUAAAUGGAACUGUCAACUCUCAUCAUAAAUCACAAAUCAGCAAUGGUCACUGUAGUGAUAUUCAGGUGAAAGUAUGAUACCACCCAGAGGACAAAGCUCGCCAACCAGCAUAAACAGGGAUAUUCGUAGGUUAUGUCCUUUCUAGUGCCUCCUUGCAACCUUUGUUAUACAUAUUUGUCAAUGCCUUAGAUGUGGAUGCUUUGUGUGCAAGUACUUCUCAGUAUAAGAAAUAACCAAGGAUACACUUAAAACUGUGGGUUUUGUUAUAGUUGUUAGCUUGUUUUGUUUUACUGAAGAUGUAUAGAGUAUAUUUAAAUAUAAUAGUUUAUACAAAACUUUGUGAUAAAAUAUUUAUUUUGCUAGUUCUAUUGAAUGUUAGCCUCUUUAUGACGUGCUAUUCUUUUUAAACUUAUAAUUUAUAUUAUAUUGUAUAAGAAAAAACUGUGAUUGAAUAAUAAGUGUUAGUUGCAUAUGCAGUAUUUAUGAAGCUUUGAAGAUGCAUUUUAAUGUUGCAAAUUUUGGCUUUUAUAAAAAAAUAUAUUCAGCACACUUUUGAUGCACAAAUUAUAUAUUUAAAAAUCAGUGCCAUUGUUCUCUACAUGAACAUAAUUAUACCUGUUGUUGUUGUUAUUGUUUCUGCAACUUUUACAAACUUACAGAGCUCUGUAUGAUGAUUGUUAUAUCCCUAGUAUAAGAAUGCAUUUGCAUAUUAAUCAUUUAUCUAAUACUUUGACAUACAUUAGUUUAUAUAGUUUUUAUUUUGAAAUAUUAUGGUGGAUUGACUAGUGCUAAACAUUCCUGUAUCAAAAUUGUUGCAUAAAAUACAUUAAAAUGCAUUUCAUGGGAUGAAAUAUGUGCAAUAGAAUCAAAAGUGCAUGAACUGCAUGCCUUACUAUUGUAAUAAAUUAAAAAGUUAUUAAUAUUCCUAUACUUUAUACCCUGAGUUCAUAUUGUUGACUUGGCUUAUAAAAAUAAAAUGGCACUUAAA